CGAGACCAGCAUGAGCCCGAUAAGGAUAAGGCCCAGCCCGGCCCGACAUGAUGGGCCUCCCAUGGCGGGCCGAGCCGGGCACGAUUAGAGUCGUUACGGGUUUAUCCAGGCCCGUAACAGUAACAUAACGGGCAAAUUUUCUUUGUUUAGAUUUUAAACGGUAAAAUUUCAUGAAAACAUCAUUUUUACUCUCUCCAACCGCGGCAAUAUUUGAGGAUAGAGAGGCCAUUUGAUAAUUUAUAUAAUUUUUUGAUAAAAAAAAUUUCAAAAAACUAAUAUAUUUCCACAACAUAUUGCAGUGGAUAGUCCAACGGCAAC
rnacentral:lncRNA from 1 species